GAUGAACGCUGGCGGCGUGCUUAACACAUGCAAGUCGAACGAAGCAUUUAGGACAGAUUACUUCGGUUUGAAGUUCUUUAUGACUGAGUGGCGGACGGGUGAGUAACGCGUGGGUAACCUGCCUUGUACUGGGGGAUAGCAGCUGGAAACGGCUGGUAAUACCGCAUAAGCGCACAAUGUUGCAUGACAUGGUUGGAAAAACUCCGGUGGUAUAAGAUGGACCCGCGUCUGAUUAGCUAGUUGGUGAGAUAACAGCCCACCAAGGCGACGAUCGGUAGCCGAACUGAGAGGGUGACCGGCCACAUUGGGACUGAGACACGGCCCAGACUCCUACGGGAGGCAGCAGUGGGGAAUAUUGCACAAUUGAGGAAACUCUGAUGCAGCGACGCCGCGUGAGUGAAGAAGUAAUUCGUUAUGUAAAGCUCUAUCAGCAGGGAAGAUAGUGACGGUACCUGACUAAGAAGCGCCGGCUAAAUACGUG
rnacentral:rRNA from 1 species